rnacentral:rRNA from 1 species
UACAGAGGUCUCAAGCGUUGUUCGGAUUCAUUGGGCGUAAAGGGUGCGUAGGUGGCGGGGUAAGUCAGGUGUGAAAUUUCGGAGCUUAACUCCGAAACUGCAUUUGAUACUGCCUUGCUUGAGGACUGGAGAGGAGACUGGAAUUCACGGUGUAGCAGUGAAAUGCGUAGAGAUCGUGAGGAAGACCAGUGGCGAAGGCGGGUCUCUGGACAGUUCCUGACACUGAGGCACGAAGGCCAGGGG